ensembl:lncRNA
UAUUGCAGCCAGAAUGAGAUUUUAUUUUAAACAAGGGACGGGAAAACAGCAGCGUUCCAAGGGGGAACUGUUGACAUCGGCACUGUUGCACCUGGGUCACUUUAGGGGGAGGGAAACCGCGGCACCCCAGAUGUAACCUGGAGGCCGGAAUGUGUCAAGUGUCUUCAUUGCUGCGCAUUAUCUCCUGUACUUUACAGCUUCUAUGGAAAAAACAACUCCCAAACGGCUGUGAAAUCAGCUCUGCUGAGCAAGAGGAAGAAGAGGAAUGGGUUGCGUGGCAGGGCCAAACAGGAGGCUGUCGGAGACACUGUGUGUUCAAACUGUCCAACUGACAGGAUGUCCAGGGGGAACACAUGUAAAUAGUCUGCCCAUGUAAAAUAAUCUAGAACAAAUAUUGCAAAUGAAGGUGGAACUGGAUCCGUCAGCUUAUGCGUCUGCGCUGAAUGAAAGGCUCUCAGUAAAACCUUGACAGCAGCUCUGUAAUCCAUCAGCAGACUUCAAAGCUAGUCUUUUAGUUCGAAAAACCUUCUCCUUUUACCCUUUCCUCUUACUGGGCAGGAGCUCCAAACCUGACCUUUCAAAAAAGUGAAUUAAAAACAACCUUGAGCAGGCAGACAGAGGCCAAAACAGGAGCUCGGUAACACUUUUGCAUGUCUCGGUUUCCCCAGCUCCCUCAUUUGCAUCUGCAAAUCCUGGUGGAUUUGGUGCCACUUUUGACAAGAUCCGAAAAAAACCCACAUGAGACAAAAGAUAAAAGCAGUCAGAAGAGGAAGUGAUAAACAUGUAUAAUGCUGUGUAAGAAGCAGCGCAGACAAAUAUGGGGAUUUGUGUCAUCAUUUGGUUAUAAAUCCCUCUCCACACAGUGACAACAGCCCAACUGUUAAUGGAAUAAAACACUUAUAAAGAGCUGAAGCAGUAGUUAUGUAAUUCAUGAUCUAACUUCAGAAGGGGUUGUUUGAUGUGACACUAACUCUCUCCCUUGCUGAGUAAAUGUUACAAGCCUAACCUUCUUGUGAUGUCAAAGGAAACCAUUGGGGGAAAACUAAAUUCCUAGAAGAGCUGUUGCACAUCAAAUCCUUCAAGAGUAAACUAUCCAACAUGGGUUAUUUGUCCAUGGAAGCAUAAAAUUGUGUCAUUCAUCCUGUAAUAGAGAGAUGAAUUCCUGAUGCCACUGAAGGGCUUGUAGCCAUUUGAUGAGCUUCUGAAGCUGAAUAGAAUUUGUCAUUGUCUUUAUUUUUUCCUUUUCUGAGGAAAUGAAUCAUGUUAUUGGGAUUCUAGGAUAAACAAGUAUAAAUUACAUCAAUUUUCGUUUAGUGAUUUAUUAUGUGAACCCUCCAAUACAAUAAAAAC